ACGCGAGCUGGGUUCAGAACGUCGUGAGACAGUUCGGUCCCUAUCCGCCGCAGGCGUAGGAAAUUUGAGAAGACCUGUCCUUAGUACGAGAGGACCGGGAUGGACGUACCUCUGGUGUACCAGUUGUCCUGCCAAGGGCAUGGCUGGGUAGCUAUGUACGGAAUGGAUAAGCGCUGAAAGCAUCUAAGCGCGAAGCCAACUUCAAGAUAAGAUUUCCCACCGCAAGGGUAAGACCCCAGAAAGACUAUCUGGUUGAUAGGUCGAAGGUGUAAGUGCAGCAAUGUAUUUAGCUUAUCGAUACUAAUAGGUCGAGGACUUGACCAAU
rnacentral:rRNA from 1 species